GCCCUUCUAGCUCAAUGGCAGAGCAGCUGUUUUGUAAACAGUCGACUGCAGUUCGAUUCUGCAGAAGGGCUCCA
rnacentral:tRNA from 2 species